rnacentral:rRNA from 1 species
GAUGAACGCUGGCGGCGUGCUUAACACAUGCAAGUCGAACGGUGAAGCAGGAGCUUGCUCUUGUGGAUCAGUGGCGAACGGGUGAGUAACACGUGAGCAACCUGCCCCUGACUCUGGGAUAAGCGCUGGAAACGGCGUCUGAUACUGGAUAUGUGAUGUGACCGCAUGGUCUGCAUCUGGAAAGAAUUUCGGUUGGGGAUGGGCUCGCGGCCUACCAGCUUGUUGGUGAGGUAACGGCUCACCAAGGCGUCGACGGGUAGCCGGCCUGGGAGGGUGACCGGCCACACUGGGACUGAGACACGGCCCAGACUCCUACGGGAGGCAGCAGUGGGGAAUAUUGCACAAUGGGCGGAAGCCUGAUGCAGCAACGCCGCGUGAGGGAUGACGGCCUUCGGGUUGUAAACUUCUUUUAGCAGGGAAGAAGCGAAAGUGACGGUACCUGCAGAAAAAGCACCGGCUAACUACGUGCCAGCCGCCGCAGUAA